UACGUAGGGCGCGAGCGUUGUCCGGAUUUAUUGGGCGUAAAGAGCUCGUAGGCGGCUCGUCGCGUCGACCGUGAAAACCCGCGGCUUAACUGCGGGCUUGCGGUUGAUACGGGCGGGCUAGAGUUCGGUAGGGGAGACUGGAAUUCCUGGUGUAGCGGUGAAAUGCGCAGAUAUCAGGAGGAACACCGGUAGCGAAGGCGGGUCUCUGGGCCGAUACUGACGCUGAGGAGCGAAAGCGUGGGGAGCGAACAGG
rnacentral:rRNA from 1 species